UGUAAGUAAGCUUUGAUCCAGAGAUUUCCGAAUGGGGAAACCCAGCAUGAGUUAUGUCAUGUUAUCGAUAUGUGAAUACAUAGCAUAUCAGAAGGCACACCCGGAGAACUGAAACAUCUUAGUACCCGGAGGAAGAGAAAGAAAAUUCGAUUCCCUUAGUAGCGGCGAGCGAAACGGGAAGAGCCCAAACCAACAAGCUUGCUUGUUGGGGUUGUAGGACACUCUAUACGGAGUUACAAAGGACGACAUUAGACGAAUCAUCUGGAAAGAUGAAUCAAAGAAGGUAAUAAUCCUGUAGUCGA
rnacentral:rRNA from 1 species